GCCUACGGGGGGCAGCAGUGAGGAAUAUUGGUCAAUGGGCGGGAGCCUGAACCAGCCAAGUCGCGUGAGGGAAGACGGUCCUACGGAUUGUAAACCUCUUUUGCCGGGGAGCAACGGGGUCCCUGCGAGGGCCCAAUGAGAGUACCCGGAGAAAAAGCAUCGGCUAACUCCGUGCCAGCAGCCGCGGUAAUACGGAGGAUGCGAGCGUUAUCCGGAUUUAUUGGGUUUAAAGGGUGCGUAGGCGGGCUGUUAAGUCAGCGGUCAAAUGUCGGGGCUCAACCCCGGCCCGCCGUUGAAACUGGCGG
rnacentral:rRNA from 1 species